rfam:Spirochaetes bacterium RIFOXYC1_FTLL_54_7 rifoxyc1_full_scaffold_5637, whole genome shotgun sequence.
GGCGCCGUACCCAAGUGGUAAGGGAGAGGUCUGCAAAACCUUCAUGCAGCGGUUCAAAUCCGAUCGGCGCCU